UGAGCAAUCUGCCCUUCUCUUUGGAAUAAGCGUUGGAAACGACGUCUAAUGCCGAAUACGACCUCCUUUCGCAUGAUCGGAGGUGGAAAGCUCCGGCGGAGAAGGAUGAGCUCGCGGCCUAUCAGCUAGUUGGUGUGGGUAAUGGCCCACCAAGGCAACGACGGGUAGCCGGCCUGAGAGGGUGACCGGCCACACUGGGACUGAGACACGGCCCAGACUCCGUACGGGGGGCAGCAGG
rnacentral:rRNA from 1 species